GGACAUCGUUUACAGACUUAAAAAUUAGAACAACAAAAACGAACCGUUAUAAUCAGAAAACUAAAAAUAUACAGCUAGCAAGAUAAAAAGCGAGAAAUAAAUGUCACUUCGUCGGUGACAGCGUCAUAAAUUAUCUACUAAAAACGUUUUCAAAAACUGUCUCCAGCCCAAAGAUUUUUCAAAAAAGAAAAAAAGCAGCACCGAAAAGCCAACAGAAAAGAAGUAAAAACUACGUAGAGAUAAUGUGACUUGUGAGACCAUAAAAUAUCCGACCGUAAUGCAUGAAAAGGGAGCUUUGCGGAUGCACGUUGGUGUUCCUCAACACUGUGACCUUUUUUAUGUCCCUUAUUCAGAUAACCGUUGGAUUUAUUACGAGUUUGAAAACGUUAGCGUAUUAUUUUGGCAUAUCAAUAAUAUUAUUAGGUUUUGUUACUUUUACGGUAGCUAUACUGUACUUCUACCCAUCCACUUACUACCCAAAAAGCAAACUAGUCCAAACGGCAGUUAUCUCGAUUUCCGUUUCCACAGGGGUGGAAAUGAUUAGCAACGUAGCCUACUUUAUGAGGAUCAGAAAUGUGAAAGACCUAAUCGAUACCGCAAUGAAUGAAUUAGAGACUAUUGUAAAAAGUAUCCACGUUUUCGUAGUGUUCGCUUUGUUCGCGUACUAUUGGCGGGUGCUGCCGCAAGCUAUGAGAACUGUUCCGAGGUUGUUCGAGGGCCGCGACACUUAUGAUUCGGAGACGGAAUUAGAGAGUGUUGGUUGACUUAGAGAUUAUACAUUUAAAACAACUUUAUUAAUAUUUUUUAAGUAUAUUUA
rnacentral:misc_RNA from 1 species